rnacentral:rRNA from 1 species
UACGGGGGGGGCAAGCGUUGUUCGGAAUUACUGGGCGUAAAGCGUGCGUAGGUGGUUCGUUAAGUCUGAUGUGAAAGCCCUGGGCUCAACCUGGGAAUGGCAUUGGAAACUGGCGAUCUAGAGUGCGGUAGAGGGUAGUGGAAUUCCCGGUGUAGCAGUGAAAUGCGUAGAGAUCGGGAGGAACAUCUGUGGCGAAGGCGACUGCCUGGACCAGCACUGACACUGAGGCACGAAAGCGUGGGGAGCAAACAGG